rnacentral:rRNA from 1 species
UAGGGAAUCUUCGGCAAUGGACGAAAGUCUGACCGAGCAACGCCGCGUGAGUGAAGAAGGUUUUCGGAUCGUAAAACUUUGUUGUUAGAGAAGAACAAGGACGUUAGUAACUGAACGUCCCCUGACGGUACCUAACCAGAAAGCCACGGCUAACUACGUGCCAGCAGCCGCGGUAAUACGUAGGUGGCAAGCGUUGUCCGGAUUUAUUGGGCGUAAAGCGAGCGCAGGCGGUUUCUUAAGUCUGAUGUGAAAGCCCCCGGCUCAACCGGGGAGGGUCAUUGGAAACUGGGAGACUUGAGUGCAGAAGAGGAGAGUGGAAUUCCAUGUGUAGCGGUGAAAUGCGUAGAUAUAUGGAGGAACACCAGUGGCGAAGGCGGCUCUCUGGUCUGUAACUGACGCUGAGGCUAGAAAGCGUGGGGAGCAAACAGG